CAGCCGCCACGGUAAUACGAAGGGGGCUAGCGUUGUUCGGAAUUACUGGGCGUAAAGCGCACGCAGGCGGCUCGAUAAAUUAGAAGUGAAAGCCUUGGGCUUAACCUGAGAAUUGCUUUUAAGACUGUCGAGCUAGAGUCCAGAAGAGGGUAGUGGAAUUCCGAGUGUAGAGGUGAAAUUCGUAGAUAUUCGGAAGAACACCAGUGGCGAAGGCGACUACCUGGUCUGGCAUUGACGCUCAUGUGCGAAAGCGUGGGGAGCAAACAGGAUUAGAUACCCCCGUAGUCCCUGUCUCUUAUAC
rnacentral:rRNA from 1 species